rnacentral:rRNA from 1 species
GACGUAGGGCGCGAGCGUUGUCCGGAUUGAUUGGGCGUAAAGAGCUCGUAGGCGGCUCGUUGCGUCGGCUGUGAAAACCCGCAGCUCAACUGUGGGCCUGCAGCUGAUACGGGCGGGCUGGAGUUCGGUAGGGGAGACUGGAAUUCCUGGUGUAGCGGUGAAAUGCGCAGAUAUCAGGAGGAACACCGGUGGCGAAGGCGGGUCUCUGGGCCGAUACUGACGCUGAGGAGCGAAAGCGUGGGGAGCGAACAGG